AUGAAGACUGCCAGAAUUUAUGUGUGUAUGGAGUCCAGCACGUGGGUUCCUCCUUGGUCAACUGUUCCGAGAAAACAAAUUUUGGACCCGUUAUUUCCGGAGGGCAAUAUGAGUAUAAUAUGGACACAUGGGCAACGUCUUCCUAGCGGAUACGUGGAGAAAUGCCCAACGCUCUCCAGCUUGGGUUGUAUGCCUUUGAGCCUUGGGCAAAGGCGCUGA